rnacentral:rRNA from 1 species
GAUGAACGCUAGCGGCAGGCCUAAUACAUGCAAGUCGGACGCGGGGUAGCAAUACCUCGAGUGGCGCACGGGUGCGUAACGCGUAACCAACCUGCCCUUGACUGGGGGAUAGCCCGCCGAAAGGCGGAUUAAUACCGCAUAAACCAGCAGCCUGGCAUCAGGCAACUGGUAAAGAUUUAUUGGUCAAGGAUGGGGUUGCGUGACAUUAGCUAGUUGGCGGGGUAACGGCCCACCAAGGCGACGAUGUCUAGGGGACCUGAGAGGGUGAUCCCCCACACUGGCACUGAGAUACGGGCCAGACUCCUACGGGAGGCAGCAGUAGGGAAUAUUGGGCAAUGGGCGAGAGCCUGACCCAGCCAUGCCGCGUGCCGGAUGAAGGCCUUCUGGGUUGUAAACGGCUUUUCUCAGGGAAGAAAACGACCAUGCGUGGUACACUGACGGUACCUGAGGAAUAAGCACCGGCUAACUCCGUGCCAGCCGCCGCCGUAAUAC